rnacentral:rRNA from 1 species
UACGUAGGGCGCAAGCGUUGUCCGGAAUCAUUGGGCGUAAAGAGCGCGUAGGCGGUCCGGUAAGUCGGUUGUGAAAACUGGGGGCUCAACCCUCAGAGGCCGACCGAUACUGUCGGGCUAGAGUCCGGAAGAGGCGAGUGGAAUUCCUGGUGUAGCGGUGAAAUGCGCAGAUAUCAGGAGGAACACCAAUGGCGAAGGCAGCUCGCUGGGACGGUACUGACGCUGAGGCGCGAAAGCGUGGGGAGCAAACAGG